rnacentral:rRNA from 1 species
AUUGAACGCUGGCGGCAUGCUUUACACAUGCAAGUCGAACGGCAGCGCGGGCUUCGGCCUGGCGGCGAGUGGCGAACGGGUGAGUAAUGCAUCGGAACGUGCCCAGUAGUGGGGGAUAGCCCGGCGAAAGCCGGAUUAAUACCGCAUACGACCUGAGGGUGAAAGCGGGGGUCCGAAAGGCCUCGCGCUAUUGGAGCGGCCGAUGUCGGAUUAGCUAGUUGGUGGGGUAAAGGCUUACCAAGGCGACGAUCCGUAGCUGGUCUGAGAGGACGACCAGCCACACUGGGACUGGGACACGGCCCAGACUCCUACGGGAGGCAGCAGUGGGGAAUUUUGGACAAUGGGGGCAACCCUGAUCCAGCCAUGCCGCGUGGGGGAAGAAGGCCUUCGGGUUGUAAACCGCUUUUGUUCGGGAAGAAAUCCUCUGGGCUAAUACCCCGGGGGGAUGACGGUACCGGAAGAAUAAGCACCGGCUAACUACGUG